rnacentral:rRNA from 1 species
GCGAACGCUGGCGGCAGGCUUAACACAUGCAAGUCGAGCGCCCCGCAAGGGGAGCGGCAGACGGGAGAGUAACACGUGGGAACAUACCUUUUGGUUCGGAACAACUGAGGGAAACUUCAGCUAAUACCGGAUAAGCCCUUACGGGGAAAGAUUUAUCGCCGAAAGAUUGGCCCGCGUCUGAUUAGCUAGUUGGUGAGGUAACGGCUCACCAAGGCGACGAUCAGUAGCUGGUCUGAGAGGAUGAUCAGCCUCACUGGGACUGAGACACGGCCCAGACUCCUACGGGAGGCAGCAGCGGGGAAUAUUGGACAAUGGGGGCAACCCUGAUCCAGCCAUGCCGCGUGAGUGAUGAAGGCCUUAGGGUUGUAAAGCUCUUUUGCCCGGGAAGAUAAUGACGGUACCGGGAGAAUAAGCCCCGGCUAACUUCGUG